rnacentral:misc_RNA from 1 species
GAUGAAGAACGUAGCGAAAUGCGAUAAGUAAUGUGAAUUGCAGAAUUCAGUGAAUCAUCGAAUCUUUGAACGCACAUUGCGCCCAUUAGUAUUCUAGUGGGCAUGCCUGUUCGAGCGUCAUUAAGUCCACUUAAGCCUGCUUAGUGUUGGGAGACUGCUCCAGCGGUGCUACCCUGUAGCUACCCUGCAGCUCCUCAAAGACAGCGGCGGAGUUGUGGUAUCCUCUGAGCUUAGUAACUUGUUCUAGCUUUCGAGUACACCACUUCCCCUGCCGUAAAACCCUUAAUUUUUAAUGGUUGACCUCGGAUCAGGUAGGAAUACCCGCUGAACUUAAGCAUAUCAAUAAGCGGAGGA